UUUGUUAAUUUGCUCACCCAACACUUACUGCUUGUGGUUUAGAUUGUUUGGUCAAUUGACUAUCUUGCCCAAAUUUUGCUUUUAUUUUCCCACUGUCCUCUGUCACCAUAAAACUCCCAGUAGUUUUACGAGGCCAACAGGAAGUGUCCCAUCUCUCCCUCUCUCUAAUCUAUCUGUAAUUUUAAUUCCCCUUUUCCACAUGACAACAAAUUCAGAAGUUCAGGGGAUGCUCUGGUUUGAAUUUGAAAUAUCUAUAAAAAGCUCACAUUUGAAAUGAUUGGUCCCCAACUGGUGGCACUAUUUUAUAUGCUUGGAAAACUGUAGAAGGUAGGGUCUGGUUGGAGGUAAUAGGUCACUGGAAGUGUGUCUCUCAAGUGCAGACUCUGCCCAGCCCUUAUCCUUGCCCUGGUUGCUUCUUAUCUACUACAAAGGAGUGCUUCCAAGUUGUUGUUUGUGCCACCAGAUGGUCUGUCACCUCACAUGCCCAGAAAUAUUGGAAUCUGCCGGGACAGGUUAAACUCUGAAACCAUGAGCCAAAUUAAAUUAUUUCCCCCUUAAAUUGUGUCUGUCAGCUGGGUGGUGGUGGUGCAUACCUUUAAUCCCAGCACUUGGGAGGGAACCAGAGGCAGGUGGAUUUUGAGCCUGGUCUACAGAGUGAGUAGGAUAGGCUCAAAAGCUACACAGAGAAAUCCUGUCUCAAAAUAAAAAAAAUGUGUCUGUCAGAUCUGUGGUUACAGAGAUGACAAAAUAAGCAAAACAGAGGACUAGGACCAGGGUAUUACUCUGGCCUACUCUGUUGAGUCUACUUUUACCAUAGCAACCUCAGAAAGAUCCAUGAAAAAGUACAGAUUAGAUAACAUCACAACUCUGCACACAACAGUGAAAUAAAUUCUCAUUUUGCUAUAACACAGUAUAGAAACAAGUCUGUUUUUUGUUGUUAGUUCAUAUUCGGUUUCAGGCCUGAGCACUCUGCAUUGGACAACAGGCAGACAUAUUCCUGGGAGAGGCUAAUUCUCCUUCUUCCAGCUGUUUAUUUUUCAGUUAAAUUGUGAAAUUCUAAAGGGCAACAGAUAACUUAGACACGUCUAAUUGGUGCUCUGUGCCACGCUGCACUGAGAAUGGAGUGUCAUCUACACCCUUUGGAUCCUUACCUUUGAUAGCAUGAGUACUCGUGAGCUAACUCAUGAAGUGAACACUGAAGAGGGGAUAUCUCAGUUCCAGAUGGAAAACCCGAGGCUUAGUGGGGUUGAUAUUGGGAUCCUCCAGUCAGUGAGUGACAGCUGUGUCAAAGUCUCACCUGCCAGACUAUAUAUAGCCUGUUGUGCUCUCAGACUGCAUAACCCACGUUCUUUAAACUUCGGUGAUUUUAUUUUUGUUUCAUAUCGAAUAGUUUCCUACCAGGCUUAUCAGGGUGAAUGUGAGCAUUCACUAAUGAAUGCUUUUUUUUUUUUUUUUUUUUGUCUGUUUGCUGUCACUUCAGCCUCUUCUGGUUCCUGCACUUAAUUAUAAUUGUCCCUUCUUACAAUCUCGGUUAUGGCCAUUAGAGAAGCAGGGGAACCUUGGAGGAUCCUGGGGAGCUCUGAACAGUUAAUGUGCUCACUCCCAAACAGUCCUCGGGAAAUUUAGCGGUGAUAUACACAGCAGUAAAAAUCAUUUCCACUUCAGUUCCCACUUGAUGGGCAGCACAGUAGGACAUUAGCAGGACUGGUUAGAGGCCUGGCGGAAUCCCAAGACCACCCUGUCUGCACACCCACAUCCUUGUCACCGGCACUCUUGCCUGUCGUUUACCUACAGGAAAGAGGUCAAGGCUCUCAGCAGCAGGGAACACCCACCACUCCCAGUGCCUCCUGGGAACCUCGCUUCUUCCGGAAGUGGUGUUGUGGACAGAACCAAAAAGCACAGGCUGAAGGGUGAUAAAAGGACAAAAAUAAUGAGAAGAACCCCAAAGAGAUUAAUAUUCUGUGCUAUUACACUGUAUCUACUCUUGAAUCACUAGCAGGAAGAAGAAAAUAAUAAUCUCUGCACAUCAAAUUCAUGUCUCAAAAACAUAUUUAUGAACAUCUCAACAUACAAAAUAAAUAUUCUUUCGUUGAUAAUGUAAAUAGCAUUUCAAUUUAAAAAAAUAAACAGCAGUGAACACAGUUCCACAGAAUGAAAAUAGCACUUCUGUAUGUAGAGACAAUAUUCUGUGGAGAAAAAAAUAUGCAUGCUACAGAGACAAAUAAGAAAAUUGAAUCCUGCGGCCACCAGGGACCAGUGGUCAGCCCUGAAAGAUGUUGCUGGUUCCCUGGGAUGGUGGGUAAUAUGGACCAGACCUCUCUGUUCAGAGGACCCAUCUGCUGGGCACAAAUGGAUGCUUAAUCUGUCAAAUGAUUUUUCUCUAUAGUUGAGAUUUCUAUGUUUUGUUCUUUCGUUAGGCUAAUACAACAAACUGACUCAUUUUAUUAAACCUAUACUAUGGAUA